CAGAAACACUAGGGGACUAAGUAACGACAGUGACAAGGAAAGCCCGUUGCCCGCAGGUGGAUGGUAAUCAUUCAUUCGCACAGGGUGCAUCGUUUGGAAAAUGACCAUAACCGGAGCUCCUCACAGAACCACAGAUCAAUGACACUCAACUCGGCUGAUGGCAGGUGACCCAAAGACAGUGCUGUUUGAGCGUUCCCUCGUCCAUGGUGUUGGCCAUGUCUGCCGCCUCUUCUAGUCUGGCCAUCCUGACCCUGGCAGUUGAAUGUGCAUCACUCACAGCAUUCUGACUAGGUCAGCCAAGGAUGGGCUGAGUCCUGCGGGAGCAAAGCCAGUGAGAGUGAGGUUAGCACCUGGUCCCAGGCGGUCCACGGGAUCUUCCCUGAAAUUAGGACUCUGCCCAUCUUUCGAGUUUAAUGAUCGACUCUGCAGGUGUAUUUCCUCGAGUCACAAUUCCCAUGGCUUCCCCUUGUGGUUUUGGCCCAGCUCGUGAGAGCCAGUCCCUGCCUUACCUUCUGCCCCCCUUGGGACACGGCCUGUGGUCACUGACCCCACACUGCAUUAAGCCUUUACCUGGUGUGUCACCUCAGCCUGGUCAGGGCUCUUCCGGAUUUUACCCAGUCCUAGAAUGAGGGGAACUGAACGUAUUACUAAAAGGUGAGCAUCUCUUGGGAAGGGGAUGAGUUGAUUUGUCACAGCCCCCAGAAUGACACAAGUGUUUAGGAUUAAAUGCCAGCCACGAGAUGCUCUGCCCCUUGUUUCUGUGCAGACAGCCUCGGGGAGAUCGCUCCCAUGCUCACAAUAAGGCAAUGCCAUGUCACCUACAAAAUCACAGCUUUUUGUGAGCCCUUCAAAGACCUUUGGGGGCAAGGCGACUACGUGAGCUGAAUCCCAAAGACAAGAAAGCCCCUUCGGGAGAGACAGGACGCAUGAUCUCGGCCAAGCGUGGCAGAGGCGGGUAAGAGGCGGCUGCCAUACCAGGGUAAGAACGAAGCAGUGAGCUUUAAAGCAUUUGGGCUAACAGAUCAGUUCAAAUGCAGGGAGGCCUGGGACGCAGGGAAGUUCAUAGGCACUUGCAGACUCUUUUCUACCACCCUUUCCAAGAGAGUUUGGGGGUGGGGCCUGGAAAGAACCCGUUAGUGCCACAGGCUUGAGGAGGCCAUUGGCGGCUUUUGGGAAACAGACACAUAACUCUGUCCUUUCUCCAUUAUCGUUUUCUGCCAGUAUAAGCAAAAGCCUUGAGCUACUGAAAGGCAGUUAAGCCUCUUACCCCAGGACUCAUGAAAAGACCCAGUGUCGCAGGGUAAGGACAACAAACGUCCUCCUACCUAAGACCAACCACAAACACAAGGCCACGUUUGGCUUUAUGGGGAGGCGGAGCAGGAGUGCUUAGAAACCCUGCCUCCAAGGCCCGGAUCCACAGGGCAGCACAGCACCCUCCUUCAGUCACUAGCAGCUGGGCACACGGAAUGAGCAAUAGCUGUCUGCUAAUAUUUCUGCAGGAGGGGCAGGAGCAGGAGAGAGACGCUUUUCCUGGCUCAGGCAUGCAGGAAGGGCUGGGAGGGGAAGAGGGGGCAGGAACACCGAGAGGAAGCCUCCAGCCCCUCAGCGCUGGGGUAGCCUCGAGGGUCCUGAAGCCCGUGGUGCACAGAAAGUAAUGAUGAAAGA